ACCAGACUACAAAGACAGAGCAAAGAAGGAACACUGGUACCUGGCAAGAAAGGAGACUUCCUUCCUUUCCAACCAACACAGCCCAUGCUAACUACUAUGCUGUACACCUAUUGCAAAAGGAAGCAGACAGGCACAUUGUGUGGUUUAAACAAAGCUGAGGAUCACAGCAGACAACCACUGAAGAUUUAAAACAUGGUCAGCAGAGUGCUUGCUCUCCAGAAGGAAAUGAACCCACAGGACAACGGGAUGGCGGGCUCAGUGCAUGGGAUUUCAGCUCAUCUACAGAUCUGUGCAGAACAAGGGAUCCUGCAUCUUGUAUCAGACACAUGGCAGAAGCUGAUAAGAUUUGGUAGUGACUGGAGUGAUGACCAUGAUGGAGGUUGGUGAUGGAUGACAGACUGAAGAACACAAAAGGAGAAGCAGGGAUUGUAACAGAAGAUUUAUGAGAAAAUCAGAAAUCUGUUGAAAGCUGUGUUGUUUCCAUCAGACAGCAUGAGCACUGAAGGCUCAGAACUACCACAGUGCAUGCCUUGCUUUAUCAAGACACUUCUAUGCAUUUUGAACUUUCCAAGUGAGCAUUUUCUUCAAAUAACAAGCACAAAACCACCAUCCUCUCUUGAGGGAAAAAGAAUGAGUGCUCAUAUGUCAUGGACAUUGUCGCUUCAUGCAAAUGUGAAAUUAAAGUCUACCUUUCACACAAACAAGUUAUUACAAUUAGUUUUGUUGAAUGUUUACUAUGAUGUGGAAGAUGAAAAACAUGUUGACUGCAAAGGAAUUGGUGGCAUGAGACUUUGCAGAACAAAACAAGAACAAGAAAAACAAAGGGCAACUAGGGUUAAAGUGAACUGCACAGAUUAGCACCUGUGAAAGGGAACCGAUUGAGCGAGUCCUGGGAACAAAAAACACCUCAUGCAAAACAUAACGACUUGGCUCAGACUUUUGGAUGCCAGCUGCACAGGACUCUUCAUUCUAUUUUUACAUGGGAACAAGGCACCACUCGGGGAAAGAAGGGGCCUCCCCUUCUUUGGAAAGCAUAAAACCACACUGCUUGUUUCAAUAAACGAUUUCGGUCCUCUCAAGUGGUGGUGUCUGUGCCUUCAGCAUACCACACUAUGAGUAAAUUGCUUUCUGCUUUCUCAGCUUCUAUCUAAGUCCAUAGCACUUAGCUGUAGAGAAGGAAUAAAACCCAAAUUUAAUACAACAACUAAUCUUAAACUCAGUAAUUUUUAUGGGGAAAUUCAUUAUAUAUUGAAAAGGUCCCUAUGUCAGUGACAGUAUUUACAGGUUUUACCUUCGCUUUUUGAAUGUUAUCUUGAUUUGCUCUUUUUCUCUGCAGAAGAAGACACAGAUAUAGACUAUUCCUGGGUAAAGACUACUGGCGUCUUUAAUUAUGGUAUUAAAAAUAGUCAUGUGAGUGUAAAUUGUUUCCAUUAAACCUUAAGUAGUAAUAUGUUAGUCUUUAAAUAAUUUGCAAGUACCACAUUGGAAGUGCCACAUACAACAACAUACAACAACAGUCCACCUGUACGGAACUGCAGGACAACAAGUUAGACGUAGGAAGUCUCCGCAUCUCUCUGCGCUAGCCGGCAAUUCACUCCGGCGAGCGGCGUGCACACUGGCAAAGCCACGAAGCUGCGUUGGGGCAGGCAGAGCCGAGGGCACACGCUGUCCUCCCAGCAGCUUCACCAAGGCACAGCUGGGUGUCACCCACAGGCUGAAUCUGCCAAAGCCUACAUUAAUGAAAUAUUAAUAUUUGGCUUUUUAAAAAAAUGCAGAUUGGUCUCUCUUUUGCUAGACUAUCUCCUAGGAGAAGAAAAUCCACUUUAGGUUCCUUUCAUGGCUCUUGGGUUUUGUUUCAGUCCAGCGUACAGACAUUCUUACUAAUGGUAAUGAAAAAGCUGUCAAGACAAAAUGAAAGAUACACUGUACAGAGCUUUAUUCUAAUGUAAGAAAUGCAAAAUUAUAUCGGGUAAUUCACCGAAAAGGGUAUCUGGGAAGGAAAAAUGAAAUUUGGAAAUAGCUGAUGGACUGCUACAUUCAUAGCAAACUAAAGCAAAUUUUUGACAUGCAAAUUUUGCACUGUUCUUCUUAGCAACCAACUCUUUUCAUUCUUACAGAAUUUACUGUUAUUGUAUCAGGCUAAAUCUACAUGUGGUAUUUCAAGGCAAAGGUAUCAAGUGUAUUUAAAGCUUUUCAGGAUCUUGUAGUCAGAAAAAAACCCCAGUACUCUUAAACUCCCCCUGCAUUUUUAUUCUUUUUACUUACAAAAAUGUGAUUUUUGCAAGACCCUGUGACUUUGUAAUAUCUGAUGUAAGCAUUGGUGUUAAUCCAAUAAAGCCUUUGGCUUGAACGGCUCAUGAGAGCACUCAAGCAAAAGGAGGAGUUUUAAAAACUUAAAAGUUGUUUUGCCAAAAGGUAGUUUUAGAUGUGGCAUUGAUCCUAAAUGUGGCCUUGGCAGACUGGUAUAGAAAAUACGCAGUUCUACCAUUCUGUAAGGUAAUAAAGGUGGCUUUAUGUCCAGAUACUUCAGCACAUGCUACUUACACAGCUGUAAUUCGAGGAAACCAUCAAACACUGCACUUGAUAAUUUGUAUUUAUGCAGUUCCUCUUGUUCUAAAAAUC